rnacentral:rRNA from 1 species
AGAGUUUGAUCCUGGCUCAGGACGAACGCUGGCGGCGUGCCUAACACAUGCAAGUCGAACGGAACUGUUUUGAAAGAUUUCUUCGGAAUGAAUUUGAUUUAGUUUAGUGGCGGACGGGUGAGUAACGCGUGAGUAACCUGCCUUCAAGAGGGGGAUAACAUUCUGAAAAGAAUGCUAAUACCGCAUGAUAUAUCGGAAUCACAUGAUUCUGAUAUCAAAGAUUUUAUCGCUUGAAGAUGGACUCGCGUCCGAUUAGUUAGUUGGUGAGGUAACGGCUCACCAAGACCGCGAUCGGUAGCCGGACUGAGAGGUUGAACGGCCACAUUGGGACUGAGACACGGCCCAGACUCCUACGGGAGGCAGCAGUGGGGGAUAUUGCGCAAUGGGGGCAACCCUGACGCAGCAACGCCGCGUGAAGGAUGAAGGUUUUCGGAUUGUAAACUUCUUUUAUUAAGGACGAAACUUGACGGUACUUAAUGAAUAAGCUCCGGCUAACUACGUGCCAGCAGCCGCGGUAAUACGUAGGGAGCAAGCGUUGUCCGGAUUUACUGGGUGUAAAGGGUGCGUAGGCGGCUUUGCAAGUCAGAUGUGAAAUCUAUGGGCUCAACCCAUAAACUGCAUUUGAAACUGUAGAGCUUGAGUGAAGUAGAGGCAGGCGGAAUUCCCCGUGUAGCGGUGAAAUGCGUAGAGAUGGGGAGGAACACCAGUGGCGAAGGCGGCCUGCUGGGCUUUAACUGACGCUGAGGCACGAAAGCGUGGGUAGCAAACAGGAUUAGAUACCCUGGUAGUCCACGCUGUAAACG